GUAGGUGGCAAGCGUUGUCCGGAAUUAUUGGGCGUAUAGCGCGCGCAGGCGGUUCUUUAAGUCUGAUGUGAAAGCCCACGGCUCAACCGUGGAGGGUCAUUGGAAACUGGAGAACUUGAGUACAGAAGAGGAAAGCGGAAUUCCACGUGUAGCGGUGAAAUGCGUAGAGAUGUGGAGGAACACCAGUGGCGAAGGCGGCUUUCUGGUCUGUAACUGACGCUGAGGCGCGAAAGCGUGGGGGAGCAAACAGGAUUAGAUACCCUGGUAGUCCACGCCGUAAACGAUGAGUGCUAAGUGUUAGGGGGUUUCCGCCCCUUAGUGCUGCAGCUAACGCAUUAAGCACUCCGCCUGGGAGUACGGCCGCAAGGCUG
rnacentral:rRNA from 1 species